UUCCCAGGGAAUCUGUGUUCUUUGUCCUUUUAGCUGAUGUGUUUUGGUUCCUUUCCCAUGUGCAGACAUUUUUACAAGCAUGUGGGAACUUCACUUUAAUUCAGAAUGAAAAUAUCAUAUUUUACAAGUGUAAGUCUGAUUAGCAGAUACCUCUUUGUUGCUCCUUUAAUGUUAAUGGGGAGAGAGUGCAUUACAUUUGGUAAGCUUUGGGUGAGCAUAAGCUAAAGGUCUGAUGUCAGCCUUUGAAAGAGAAAUUGGGUGAAUUUUCUGGGCUCUUGAAGUGAUACUUACUUCAGUGCUUUAUAUUCCAAGGAAUUCUGAGCAACGUCUCUCAUAUCUCUUUCUUAAAAACAUCUGCGGACAGGUAAUGGCCACAUUAAGUGCUGCAGUGGGCAUGUUCAUAUCUCAUGUGUCUGUAAAUACCCUACUGAGCAGAUCAGAGAGAGCAGAAAUGGCUUAGUGAAAAAAAAAAAAAAAAUGCCUGAAAUGUUGUGGGUUUUGGAAUUGGCAGGGAAUUGCUGUGUAUCUGAUUUUUCAUCUCCCAGCCAUCCCUUACGUAAAACGUUUUGUGCUGUGAUCGGCUGCUGCAUUUAACCCAGCCCUGAAAUUGUUUUUAACCACAGUGAGAAUACUUCUGCUGAGGUCCCCCUUGCACAGAUGAGUGGUGAAAUAAGGUGAGAUGAGGUUAAAAGGCAGAAGUGAAGUUAGGGAAGCCAGAAGGUGCCAGAGAGUGGUUCAGCUGUGAAACUCAGCAUGGUCCAUCAGCCUCUGAAUGUUCUGGAGUCAGAGAAGGGCUUCAGUGCUGAACUCGGGCUUUAAUGACUUUAUACAACUUGGAUGUAAAUCCUGCAAGUGUGCAGAGAGAGAACAGACUUUGAAACAGCCGAAGAAAACAGAUUUAUCUGUGAUGUUUGAGAUGAUGCUGGUAGUGUAAACGUGAUUGAAAUAGUCAUUGUGGGAGUGGUGAGUAAAUAUACCAGAAGCUUGGGGAUAAACUGACUUCUCUGCUGCUCCAUAUGCCAAGUAAAGGCAGAAUGUCCUGCUUGUUUCUGGGAUGUUCCUUCACCGGGGAGGCUGUAUCAGGAGGAGCAGCCACUGGUUUUUAGGAUUGUCAUCACUCCCAGAUGCCAGUGUAGAGCUCUUCUUUCAUGCCCUGGAUGUGGUUGCUGGCCUCCUCUGGGCUGGUGGAAUUAAGAUGUUGCAAGAGCGAGGGGGAAAAGAUCCAGCAAAUAUUUCUGUGAGGAUUUCUUGUAGAUUAAUCAGUUUUUUAGCCUUUUGGUGUUUCACAAAUCAGCAGUGAGAUCUGGAAUGUGGAAGCUGUCUACACUUUUCAGGACAAAGUGCUGCCUUAUUUGACCAUCAGGCUGAUGGAUAAACUUACAGGACAAGCUUAAUCUUUUUUUCCAGACUGAAAAAUUACCAGGCUGAAAAGGGAUCUCACCUGUCAUUCUCCUCUAACUAAUUUUUGGUUUUUCAUCUGGCUUCAGUCAAAUUUGAUAAAGGCAGAGCCGUUAAGCAGACCAGGGCUCAAGAUUCAUGGAGAUGAGGAGCUUGGGAGAGCAAAUCCACCCUCCCAUGGUCUGGCAGAGUGGUCCUGGUCCCAGCCCUGUGGAAGGAGCAACCUGGGAAAGUGAGAGGAGCUCUGAGGGUCCUGGAACCAGCCUGGUGUCACUUGUAUAAAAUCCUGUGUCUGAAUAUCUGAAUAUUAAGAUUGUAUAGGAAGAGGCAUCAUAUUUUUUCCUUCAAGCUCCAGUUUCUUUAUGUAAUACCUUUGAUCAAAGUAUCUCAGAGCAGUAGUGGGAUUGUAAUUUAUUGAUGUAAUGGACACUGACAUUUUGUACAAGGAAAAUGGCAAACAGGUGCUGUUGAAAGGCAGAGUGAUGAAUGUAUAAUGUUGAAAAAAUUGCGACCGAACAUCCUGGUUGGAAUAAUGCACUAAAACAUUUUCACCCAGAUCCCAGUCUUUGUGACUGCAGAGUCACUUGGGAUUUGAAAGGGAGCUUUCUUUAGUGAGGAGCUUGCAAGUUGUUAAUAAAAAUUGCCAAUGGGAGGAAGGUCCACAUAUAUUGUUAAGCCACUGUUGGGAAACUGAUUCUGCAAUGAAAAUGUUUAUUUGUUUUGAAAGAAAAAUCUGUGCUAGAAUGCUACGCAUGCUCUACUUAUCUGUUUUCAUUCUAAACCCUAUUUUUAUUUUGCUCUCUGCAGCCAGUCUGUAAGUAAAACAUUCCUAGCAUCCUUUGGCUGGAGAUUCAGUCAAGGACUUUUUUGUUCUGCUUUCAAGAAGAUGGUUCCAGUCUUUCUUGAAGCUUCUCCAAAGGAAGUUUCCUUCUAUAGUGGAUAAGGUGACAAUGAGGAAAGUCACAGCCUAUGGUCCAAAGGCUUAGUGUCACCCUCUUAUUGUUGUAAUGUCCUGCCAUGUUUAAUCUGACAACAAAUGGAAACAUUUUAGCAUAGCUACACUGGCACACAGUAAGAGUUGGAGCCACUCUGAUGUUAGUUCUGCUUGAGUUCCCUGGGCUCUCGAGCUGGCUGUUAGCAGGAUAAUGUGGAUAAAUGUUGUGUGGGCACAGAGGAGAGGGGCUGUGUCUGUGUCCAUGGGCAAGGCCUCUCUCCCCAGCCCCCAUCCAAUCAAAGGCUGUUUGCCACCACGGAUUGGAUUGUCUUGCUCAACCAGGGAUUGGCUCUGACCAGUGUGUUUGUUUUGUUGUUCAUCCCUGGUGACUGUCAGUAGCACUUGGCUGAAUAAACAGAGACUAUUGAUCAAAUUUGAAGUCAUUAGCUUGGCAGUUUAAAUAGAUGCUGGCCUAUAUGGUUAGAACAAGGGAAUAACACAGGCUGAUACAGCUUUAUUUGGAAUAAAAGCCUUCUUUUCACAGAGUCCUGUUUGGUGCCAUUCAGUUCCCAGUUUGGUGCCUCCCUUAGGUCAUGCAAGAAUGAGAUAUUUUGCUUAAAAUACCUAAAGUGAAG